rnacentral:misc_RNA from 1 species
GAUGAAGAACGUAGCGAAAUGCGAUACUUGGUGUGAAUUGCAGAAUCCCGUGAACCAUCGAGUCUUUGAACGCAAGUUGCGCCCGAAGCCACUAGGCCGAGGGCACGCCUGCCUGGGCGUCACACGUCGUUGCCCCCCCCCAUCUACUCCUUCGGGAUUGCGGGGGGCGGAUGAUGGCCUCCCGUGCGCCUAGCCGCGCGGUUGGCAUAAAUACCAAGUCCUCGGCGACGCACGCCACGACAAUCGGUGGUUGCGAAACCUCGGUUGCCCGUCGUGUGCGUUCGUCGCGCAUCGAGGGCUCGAAAAAAUGCUCGGCUCCGGCUCGGCUUUCAACUCGACCCCAGGUCAGGCGGGGUUACCCGCUGAAUUUAAGCAUAUCAAUAAGCGGAGGA